rnacentral:rRNA from 1 species
AUUGAACGCUGGCGGCAGGCCUAACACAUGCAAGUCGAACGAGUGGCGGACGGGUGAGUAAUGUCUGGGAAACUGCCCGAUGGAGGGGGAUAACUACUGGAAACGGUAGCUAAUACCGCAUACCAUCGGAUGUGCCCAGAUGGGAUUAGCUAGUAGGUGGGGUAACGGCUCACCAAGGCGACGAUCCGUAGCUGGUCUGAGAGGAUGACCAGCCACCUUGGAACUGAGACACGGUGCAGACUCCUACGGGAGGCAGCAGUGGGGAAUAUUGCACAAUGGGCGCAAGCCUGAUGCAGCCAGGCCGCGUGUAUGAAGAAGGCCUUCGGGUUGUAAAGUACUUUCAGCGAGGAGGCGUUACCCGCAGAAGAAGCAGCGGCUAACUCCGUGCCAGCAGCCGCGGUAAUAC